rnacentral:rRNA from 1 species
UGGCCAGACUCCUACGGGAGGCAGCAGUGGGGAAUAUUGCACAAUGGGGGAAACCCUGAUGCAGCGACGCCGCGUGAGUGAAGAAGUAUUUCGGUAUGUAAAGCUCUAUCAGCAGGGAAGAUAAUGACGGUACCUGAGUAAGAAGCCCCGGCUAACUACGUGCCAGCAGCCGCGGUAAUACGUAGGUGGCAAGCGUUGUCCGGAAUUACUGGGUGUAAAGGGAGCGCAGGCGGGAAGCCAAGUCAGCUGUGAAAACUACGGGCUUAACUUGUAGACUGCAGUUGAAACUGGUUUUCUUGAGUGAAGUAGAGGUUGGCGGAAUUCCGAGUGUAGCGGUGAAAUGCGUAGAUAUUCGGAGGAACACCAGUGGCGAAGGCGGUCUGCUGGACAGCAACUGACGGUGAGGCGCGAAAGCGUGGGGAGCAAACAGGAUUAGAUACCCGAGUAUC